CCCUCCAGCUUCUGCCUCCUGGGAGAUGCAGGAAGGAGCCGUGUGGGGACUCAGCUGGCCCUGGAGUGGUUCCAGUUCCCUUUGAGAGUGGGAGGACCUAUCCCAGGCCAGGGCUGAGAAGGAUUUCCACGCUGGGUGAUGGAACAGGCUCUGCAGAUGAUGCUGGUGCAGAGCUCCUGCUUUUUCUCCACUCAUCAGGCCAAGCCGUCCCUCCCCAACCCCAGGGGGCUUCACUGACUCUCAAGGAAACCCUUGGUGACUGCAAAGUAAAGGUUUGCUUGGCUGGAGAGCCCGUCCACAGCAGCAGCCACGUCUGCAGCAGUGCCAGCCUCUCCUGCAGGGCUUGGCUGGGCCAGGGGUGGAUUCCAGGGAGGAAGGAACAGAAAAUGCCCCACGGAGGAUUUCUUACCCGUAUCGCCUGAUGUCUGCUCCUGGGCAGGAGCAUUACCCAAGAAGAUUAGAUGAGAUGUUGACAGAGAAGAUCAUCUCACCGG